rnacentral:rRNA from 1 species
CGGCAGGCCUAACACAUGCAAGAAGCUUGCUUCUCUUGAGAGCGAAAGGGCGGAGUAAUGCCUAGGAAUCUGCCUAGUGGUGGGGGAUAACGUUCGGAAACGGACGCUAAUACCGCAUAGAGACGUCCUACGGGAGAAAGCGGGGGACCUUCGGGCCUCGCGCCAUUAGAUCUAGGUCGGGGGAUUAGCUAGUUGGUGAGGUAAUGGCUCACCAAGGCGACGAUCCGUAACUGGUCUGAGAGUCUGGAACUGAGACACGGUCCAGACACCUACGGGAGGCAUUAGUGGGGAAUAUUGGACAAUGGGCGAAAGCCUGAUCCAGCCAUGCCGCGUGUGAAGAAGGUCUUCGGAUUGUGUGCGGUAGAGAAAACACUUUAAUGGGAGGAAGGGUAGUAACUUAAUACGUUGCUACUUUGACGUUACCGACAGAAUAAGCACCGGCUAACUUCGUGCCAGCAGCCGCUACGAGUGCAAGCGCGUGUUAAUCGGAAUUACUGGGCGUAAAGCGCGCGUAGGUGGUUCAGUAAGUUGGAAGUGAAAUGCGUAGAGACCCGCUCAACCUGGGAACUGAUACUUUCAAAACUGCUGAGCUAGAGUACGGUAGAGGGUGGUGGAAUUUCCUGUGUAGCGGUGAAAUGCGUAGAUAUAGGAAGGAACACUAGUGGCGAAGGCGACCACCUGGACUGAUACUGACACUGAAGUGCGAAAGCGAGCAAUUACAGGGUCGAGCGGUAGAGAAUUAGAUACCCUGGUAGUCCACGCCGUAAACGAUGUCAACUAGCCGUUGGGAGUCUUUUAUACUCUUAGUGGCGCAGCAACGCAUUAAGUUGACCGCCUGGGGAGUACGGCCGCAAGGUUAAAACUCAAAUGAAUUGACGGGGGCCCGCACAAGCGGUGGAGCAUGUGGUUUAAUUCGAAGCAACGCGAAGAACCUUACCUGGCCUUGACAUGCUGAGAACUUUCUAGAGUGCCUUCGGGAACUCAGACACAGGUGCUGGGCUGUCGUCAGCUCGUGUCGUGAGAUGUUGGGUUAAGAUAGAUUGGUCCCGUUACGAGCGCAACCCUUGUCCUUAGUUACCAUAUAGCAGGUGGGAACUCUAAAUUGGAAUCCAGACUGCCGGUGACAAACCGGAGGAAGGUGGGGAUGACGUCAAGUCAUCAUGGCCCUUACGGCCAGGGCGGGCUACACACGUGCUACAAUGGUCGGUACAAAGGGGAUAGAUUGUUGCCCGCAAGCCGCGAGGUGGAGCUAAUCCCAUAAAACCGAUCGUAGUCCGGAUCGCAAAUUGUCUGCAACUCGAUAUGCGUGAAGUCGGAAUCGCUAGUAAUCUUGAAUCAGAAUGUCACGGUGAAUCCCGGUUACGUUCCCGGGCCUUGUACACACCGCCCGUCACACCAUGGGAGUGGGUUGCACCAGAAGUAGCUAGUC